rnacentral:rRNA from 1 species
GAGUUUGAUCCUGGCUCAGAUUGAACGCUGGCGGCAGGCCUAACACAUGCAAGUCGAGCGGUAACAUUUCAAAAGCUUGCUUUUGAAGAUGACGAGCGGCGGACCGGUGAAUAAUGCCUGGGAGUAUGCCUUGAUGUGCGGGAUAACCAUUGGACACUAUGGCUAAUACCCCAUAAUGCCUACGGCCCAAAGAAGGGGAUCUUCGGACCUCUCGCCUCCUCAUUACCCCAAGUGGCAUUAUCUAAUUGGCGAGGUAAUGGCUCACCGAGGUCGACGAUCCCUAGCUGCUCUGAUAGGAUGAUCAGCCACAUCUGCAACUGAGACACUGACCACGACUCCUACAGUACGCCGCAAUGCGGAAUAUUGCACAAUGGGCGCAAGCCUGAUGCACCCGUGCCGCGUGUGUGAAGAAGGCCUUCAGGUUGUAAAGCACUUUCAGUCGUGAGGAAGGUUCAUACGUUAAUAGCGUAUGGAUUUGACGUUAGCGACAGAAGAAGCACCGGCUAACUCCGUGCCAGCAGCCGCGGUAAUACGGAGGGUGCGAGCGUUAAUCGGAAUUACUGGGCGUAAAGCGCAUGCAGGUGGUUCGUUAAGUCAGAUGUGAAAGCCCGGGGCUCAACCUCGGAACUGCAUUUGAAACUGGCGGACUAGAGUACUGUAGASGGGGGUAGAAUUUCAGGUGUAGCGGUGAAAUGCGUAGAGAUCUGAAGGAAUACCGGUGGCGAAGGCGGCCCCCUGGACAGAUACUGACACUCAGAUGCGAAAGCGUGGGGAGCAAACAGGAUUAGAUACCCUGGUAGUCCACGCCGUACACGAUGUCUACUUGGAGGUUGUGGCCUUGAGCCGUGGCAUUCGGAAGUAACGCGUUAAGUAGACCGCCUGGGGAGUACGGUUGCAAGAUUUAAACUUAAAUGAAUUGACGGGGGGCCGCACAAGCGGUGGAACAUGUGGUUUAAUUUGAUGCAACGCGAAGAACCUUACCUACUUUUGGCAUUUAGAGAAGCCAGGGGAGAAGCAGGUGUGCCUUUGGGAACUUUAAGACAGGUGGUGCAUGGCUGUUGUCAGCUUGUGUUGUGAAAUGUUGGGUUAAGUUCCGCAACGAGCGCAACCCUUAUCCUUGUUUGCCAGCGAGUAAUGUUGGGAACUCCAGGGAGACUGCCGGUGAUAAACCGGAGGAAGGUGGGGACGACGUCAAGUCAUCAUGGCCCUUACGAGUAGGGCUACACACGUGCUACAAUGGCGCAUACAGAGGGCUGCCAGCCAGCGAUGGUGAGCGAAUCCCAAAAAGUGUGUCGUAGUCCGGAUUGGAGUCUGCAACUCGACUCCAUGAAGUCGGAAUCGCUAGUAAUCGUGAAUCAGAAUGUCACGGUGAAUACGUUCCCGGGCCUUGUACACACCGCCCGUCACACCAUGGGAGUGGGCUGCAAAAGAAGUGGGUAGUUUAACCUUUGGAGGAGGACGCUCCCCACUGUGUGGCUCAUGAGUGGGG